rnacentral:lncRNA from 1 species
GAAGCAAGAACCCUAAAUCCCCAAGACCCAAAUGGCGCCACUCACUAUUCAAUCAUCUCUCUCGCCUAAAUCAAGCCCCAAUUUAAUCCAAAUUCAGGCGAGUGAAUCCAAACUCACACCAUGCGUCUCCCCCUUCCAUCCUCCUACCAUAUUAUAACGGUUUCUGACACCCAAAGAUACCCUCCCCUCACUCGCCUGAUUUCAAACUACUUCACGCAAUUAAAAGGCUCUAGAAGACGUGCGUUGGAUGAGUGAGAGGCGUCGGAUCGAUCUCGGUCAAUCCGAGCCCCACAUUCAUCGUGUGCACAUUUUUGAGAAGAGCUUGAUCCAUUUUUUGAAGAGAGAGGAGGAAUCUGGAGGUAGGAUAUAUAUAAAGAGGGCAUAGGAUUUUCUGGAAGGGGAGAAGAUUUUUGAGAAAUUUCUUUUGCAGAAAAGCUAGGUUUUAAAGAGACAUUUUUCUUCAUCUUCGUUUCUAAUUUUUGGUUUAGUUCCAGAACAAGAAAAACAUAUAAAAGGAAAUGUUCAUUAUUCUUUGAUUCUGUUUCGUUUUCAAUUACUUUCCAACAAAAUCAAAAAAAAAUAUAUUCCAUCUUUUCUUUCCGGGCUAGAGGUGGUUUGAAAAAAAAUGGUGCUCGAUUGAGAGUUGCUGAGUUUGUUGCUGUCCGAGCUUCUGAUUUCUACUCGAUUCUGUUGCUGUUUGGAUUGAUAUUAGCUUCUGGAUUUCAUUUGUAAUUAGCGUUUAAGCAAAGUAAAUCGAAGGUGUUUAUUGAUUCCAGGUUCAUUUCUUCUCCAUUUUUUAUUUGUUCGUGAUUCUGUGUCGUGUGCUCAUGUUCUGCUAUGAUUUUGGUUUAAGACUGCCUGAAAGUUAGUGUUUGUUGUUUGGGUUAAAUGUCGAGUUCUUUUGGCUUUGAUUCAGGUCUGUUUCUGUUUUUUGUUUAUUCUAUGUUGGGCGAGUGAUUGUAUGCACUGAUGUAAUGGCUGCAGUUGUAUAAAUUCAUCCCAUUUGUUUGUUAAAUUUGAGCAUUGAAACAUAUUCACGAAACCUUAAAGGUUGAAGCCUGCUUGUUUGAUCAUUUUUGUUGGUUUAGCUGAAGUUUGAGCACUAAGUAAUUGGUGGGCUUGGUUCAUUUUUGAAUUAGUGAGUCGACGCACAUUUAGCUUCACCACUAGGGCCACAAAGGUUAAUGUUCAUGCUUCCGGCCGUCAUUUCUGUCCUGGAGCUUCUUGAGCAGGAUUCAACAUGAAAAUUGUGUAGUAGUAUAGCUGCCCAGUAGUCAUCAAAGUUGGUAUAUUUGGGGAUGAGUUUUAAAAAGAAUUCUUGUUUGUGUGUGGAGAUUAAACUUGCAAUAAGCCGUGAGACUCCUUCUAAUCACUGUUCAUUUGGUCGCCAAUUAGUUCGGUAGCUUAGGGAUAUUAAUUAAACUUUGAUUUAUUUGAUUUUCAUUUGUAUGGUUGGGGCGUAACCAACUGCACAUCAUCCGAGUGAGUUGCCAAUAAGCAGCAUGUUCAUGUGCUCGUAUCUUAAGUAUUAUGGACUGUAUCUGUUGGUUUUGUUCGAAUUCGAUCGUUGUUAGCUGCGCAAUCCCGUCUGUUGUAGUUGCCGGAAUAUUUCGGCAUCUGAAACUUCUUGAGCUAGAUUGUUUUGAGCCAUGGGAGUACUGUGUUGUCAUUAUUUUGCUGAUUUCGCGUAGCUAGUCCUACCAGUUCUUCUUCACCUUUAUUUGGUCCAAUUCUUGCUUGUUUCGCUGUCGUCCGAAGUGUGUUUGCAGUUUAAAUGAUUACUGCUGGAGAUUUUACUGCUAUGAAAUCUGCAUAUAUGUAUUCAUUUCAAUACUCUGUCAAGGGGUUUUUAUUUGUUAAACAUGUAGUUCGUGUAUUGGGAAAAAACUGAAUUUACAUUGUAGGUGACGUGGCAUGACACGUGGACUGGUCAAAUGGUCAAAACACAAUAAAUAGCCAAGAGGCACGGGCGACAACAGAUAAGGGAAAAAGAAAGCAACAUAGGUGCGGACCGUUACUAAAAUAGGUACGAGUCUCGUACCUAUCCAAGUCAUUUAAAGACCGAAGAUCGGAAGAAGUUGAAGAUACGAAUCUGAUGACGUAAAAGAGUUUAAAUACAACAUUAAAUAUCAAAUACGUUAGAAUAUUUGAUUUAAAAAGAAAUGAUUGUGUAACGUUUCUUUUAAUGUCAUUUAUUGCUCAUAAUUGCCUCAUUAAGAUAAAGGCAUUACAUCUUCUCCUAGAAUUAAUUAUAAAAGGGGAAGAAUUCAUCAUCUGUAAGGAUACGAAAUACUAUUGGGAUCUUACUGAAAUAUAAAAUUAUUUUACUGCUUUACCAUCAUUCUCAAAAA